UACGGAGGGUGCAAGCGUUAUCCGGAUUCACUGGGUUUAAAGGGUGCGUAGGCGGGCAGGUAAGUCAGUGGUGAAAUCUUUGGGCUUAACCCGAAACUGACCAUUGAUACUAUCUGUCUUGAAUAUUGUGGAGGUUUGCGGAAUAUGUCAUGUAGCGGUGAAAUGCUUAGAGAUGACAUAGAACACCUAUUGCGAAGGCAGCAAACUACGCAUAUAUUGACGCUGAGGCACGAAAGCGUGGGGAUCAAACAGG
rnacentral:rRNA from 1 species